rnacentral:rRNA from 1 species
AUUGAACGCUGGCGGCAGGCUUAACACAUGCAAGUCGAGCGAGCGGCGGACGGGUGAGUAAUGUCUGGGAAACUGCCUGAUGGAGGGGGAUAACUACUGGAAACGGUAGCUAAUACCGCAUACCAUCAGAUGUGCCCAGAUGGGAUGAGCUAGUGGGUGGGGUAAUGGGUCACCUAGGCGACGAUCCCUAGCUGGUCUGAGAGGAUGACAAGCCACACUGGAACGGGGACACGUACCAGACGCCUACGGGAGGCAGCAGUGGGGAAUAUUGCACAGUGGGCGCAAGCCUGAUGCAGCCAGGCCGCGUGUGUGAAGAAGGCCUUCGGGUUGUAAAGCACUUUCAGCGAGGAGGCGUUACUCGCAGAAGAAGCACCGGCUAACUCCGUGCCAGCAGCCGCGGUAAUUC